UACGUAGGGUGCGAGCGUUACUCGGAAUUACUGGGCGUAAAGCGUGCGCAGGCGGUUCGCCAAGUCAGGUGUGAAAUCCCCGGGCUUAACCUGGGAAUUGCGCUCGAAACUACGUGGCUGGAGUGUGGCAGAGGAAGGUGGAAUUCCAGGUGUAGCGGUGAAAUGCGUAGAGAUCUGGAGGAAUACCGAUGGCGAAGGCAGCCUUCUGGGCCAACACUGACGCUCAUGCACGAAAGCGUGGGGAGCAAACAGG
rnacentral:rRNA from 1 species